rnacentral:misc_RNA from 1 species
UCGACCCGAUGGCUACCGUCGACUAGACUCGACCCUGGUCAAGUGGGAGCAUUCGGAACCCGUAGAGCUGCGCAUCGACAGAAGUUUUGCAAAAUGGGUGGAAAUAACAGCAGAACAGUGACUUUAGAAGAAGAAAGUGAUGGUGCAAUAACGAUAUCAGAAAAUGUAUUAAAAUUAAUGAUCCGGUCUUCUCAGGGUAUCAGUGAAGAUGAACAUGGAGGAUUUACAGAAACCCAUCAGGGUGAACAUAGCCAUAGUGACAGAGAAUGGAAGGAAAGAAUACGGCAAUUAGAGGAACAUUGGAGAGAAAGGUUACGCAAUGCAGAGGAAAAGAAUGCCAAUUUAGCUCAAAUAACAUCAGAGCAGUUUAACCAGGCUGCAGAAAACGUGGAAGCAAAAUUUAUGAAGGAAAGGUUUGUGCCAAUUUGUGAAAAGCUACAGCAAGCAGUUUUAGAUUGUUAUCAAGCAAACCCUAAGCAAGUUCUUAAGUGUUCCGAGGAAGUAAAAGCAUUUAAUGCAUGUGUGCAACACACACAAAAUAGUAUUUUGACAAGAAAAGAAAUGUCACCUUCAACUUAACCAAUUGUCCCAUUGAUUCCAGAGAGGAUAUCCGGUGUUAUAAAGCUAUGAAGUGUUGCUGAUGUACUAUAUAUUUUAUAAGAUUAAUGGGUUUUAAGUAUUGGCUUAAAUAGUAUUAACCUGGUGUUUUCAAGUAAUCUACACUGAAGUUUUGAAGCAAUUUGGCACUAAAGUUUUGAUUUUGCUACAGGAUGAAUAAAACAUAACUUUCAUUAUGAGGUUUAUGAAUUUUACAAGAAACAAUCCUGGGAAUGAAUGACAAGUGGCAUAUUACUAAGUAUUGAGGAUUUCGGAUACUGUGCUGUUUAGAUUUACAAUUACUUAAUGAUAUGUUGAUCUUUUGGAUUCUGAUAAAAAUUUUGUUCCAGAACUAAAACAUACUAAGUUGUAACUCCAAUUGUGAAUGCCAGGUGGAAGCUCAAUACAAGACUAUACAGUAAUACAGUAGUUGCAUCUAACAUAAUAUUCUGUAUGAAAUAAACAUUUAAGCUAUCUUUUGCUCAGAAGUGUUGUCUUGAGUCAAUUUGCUUUUAAAGCAAACCUGCCAGAUAUAUCCGGAUGUUGCAGCCCAAGUCUCUGCCCUUGACACCCCCACCCCCUGUUCAAAGUUUACAGCUUUGUUUACAUUUUUGUGAUUAAAGUUAAUAAAGAACAGCUUGAAGUCACAUACAAAAGAA